rnacentral:tRNA from 1 species
GUCCCCGUAGCCCAACUGGUAGAGGCGGCCGACUUAAACCCGGCACCGGUGCGGGUUCAAAUCCCGCCGGGGACA